UAUCAGAGUAGGACUAAGCCAUGCGAGUCAACGUAGAAAUACGUGGCGAACGGCUCAGUAACACGUAGUCAACAUGCCCAGAGGACGUGGAUAACCUCGGGAAACUGAGGAUAAACCGCGAUAGGCCAUGAUUUCUGGAAUGGUUCAUGGCUGAAAUCUAUAUGGCCUCUGGAUUGGACUGCGGCCGAUCCGGCUGUUGGUGAGGUAAUGGCCCACCAAACCUAUAACCGGUACGGGCUCUGAGAGGAGGAGCCCGGAGAUGGGCACUGAGACAAGGGCCCAGGCCCUAUGGGGCGCAGCAGGCGCGAAAUCUCUGCAAUAGGCGAAAGCUUGACAGGGUUACUCUGAGUGAUUCCCGCUAAGGGGAUCUUUUGGCACCUCUAAAAAUGGUGCAGAAUAAGGGGUGGGCAA
rnacentral:rRNA from 1 species